rnacentral:rRNA from 1 species
UACGUAGGGUGCAAGCGUUGUCCGGAAUUAUUGGGCGUAAAGAGCUCGUAGGCGGUUUGUCGCGUCUGCUGUGAAAACUCGGGGCUUAACCCCGGGCCUGCAGUGGGUACGGGCAGACUAGAGUGCGGUAGGGGAGACUGGAAUUCCUGGUGUAGCGGUGAAAUGCGCAGAUAUCAGGAAGAACACCCGUGGCGAAGGCGGUUCUCUGGGACGGUACUGACGCUGAGACGCGAAAGCGUGGGGAGCGAACAGG